rnacentral:rRNA from 1 species
CUGCGAAUGGCUCAUUAAAUCAGUUAUCGUUUAUUUGAUAGUACCUUACUACUUGGAUAAYCGUGGUAAUUCUAGAGCUAAUACAUGCUAAAAACCCCGACUUCGGGAGGGGUGUAUUUAUUAGAUAAAAAACCAACGCCCUUCGGGGCUCCUUGGUGAUUCAUAAUAACUAAACGAAUCGCAUGGCCUUGCGCCGGCGAUGGUUCAUUCAAAUUUCUGCCCUAUCAACUUUCGAUGGUAGGAUAGUGGCCUACCAUGGUAUCAACGGGUAACGGGGAAUUAGGGUUCUAUUCCGGAGAGGGAGCCUGAGAAACGGCUACCACAUCCAAGGAAGGCAGCAGGCGCGCAAAUUACCCAAUCCCGACUCGGGGAGGUAGUGACAAUAAAUACUGAUACAGGGCUCUUACGGGUCUUGUAAUUGGAAUGAGUACAAUUUAAAUCCCUUAACGAGGAACAAUUGGAGGGCAAGUCUGGUGCCAGCAGCCGCGGUAAUUCCAGCUCCAAUAGCGUAUAUUAAAGUUGUUGCAGUUAAAAAGCUCGUAGUUGAACCUUGGGCCUGGCUGGCCGGUCCGCCUCACCGCGUGCACUGGUCCGGCCGGGCCUUUCCUUCUGGGGAUCCGCAUGCCCUUUACUGGGUGUGUCGGGGAACCAGGACUUUUACUUUGAAAAAAUUAGAGUGUUCAAAGCAGGCCUUCGCUCGAAUACAUUAGCAUGGAAUAAUAGAAUAGGACGUGCGGUUCUAUUUUGUUGGUUUCUAGGACCGCCGUAAUGAUUAAUAGGGAUAGUCGGGGGCAUCAGUAUUCAAUUGUCAGAGGUGAAAUUCUUGGAUUUAUUGAAGACUAACUACUGCGAAAGCAUUUGCCAAGGAUGUUUUCAUUAAUCAGUGAACGAAAGUGAGGGGAUCGAAGACGAUCAGAUACCGUCGUAGUCUUAACCAUAAACUAUGCCGACUAGGGAUCGGGCGAUGUUACUAUUCUGACUCGCUCGGCACCUUACGAGAAAUCAA